UACGGAAGGGGCAAGCGUUGUUCGGAAUCAUUGGGCGUAAAGGGAGCGUAGGUGGCAUUCUAAGUCUGAUGUGAAAGCUCUGAGCUUAACUCAGAAAUGGCAUUAGAAACUAGUUUGCUAGAGGAUUGGAGGGGAGAUUGGAAUACUUGGUGUAGCAGUGAAAUGCGUAGAUAUCAAGUGGAACACCAGUGGCGAAGGCGAAUCUCUGGACAAUUCCUGACACUGAUGCUCGAAAGCUAGGGGAGCAAACGGG
rnacentral:rRNA from 1 species